AGAGCGAACGCUGGCGGCAGGCUUAACACAUGCAAGUCGAGCGGGCGUAGCAAUACGUCAGCGGCAGACGGGUGAGUAACGCGUGGGAACGUACCUUUUGGUUCGGAACAACCCAGGGAAACUUGGGCUAAUACCGGAUAAGCCCUUACGGGGAAAGAUUUAUCGCCGAAAGAUCGGCCCGCGUCUGAUUAGCUAGUUGGUGGGGUAAUGGCCCACCAAGGCGACGAUCAGUAGCUGGUCUGAGAGGAUGAUCAGCCACAUUGGGACUGAGACACGGCCCAAACUCCUACGGGAGGCAGCAGUGGGGAAUAUUGGACAAUGGGCGCAAGCCUGAUCCAGCCAUGCCGCGUGAGUGAUGAAGGCCCUAGGGUUGUAAAGCUUCUUUGUGCGGGAAGAUAAUGACGGUACCGCAAGAAUAAGCCCCGGCUAACGUUCGCGCCAGCAGCCGC
rnacentral:rRNA from 1 species